rnacentral:lncRNA from 1 species
AAAUGGUGGCACGGUUCACUUCAUGGUAUAUGUUAUCUAAUUGUUUCUUUGGUCAACAGGAUAAUAUCGUCGGUUAGUAAUAACAAUUAUACAUCAUUUAUAGACGUAGCUUUUUUUAUGAUUGAACUUAUUUCUACGUUGUUUGAUUAUAUCACAUUUUCGUUGAAAUAUGCUAAAUUUAAGUCAUAUAUUUAUAGUUCUACUUCUUAAUUUACAUUUAUGCAACCAAAUAUAAACAAUUGGCCAAAUUAAUAUGAUGACAACAUCAGGCAAUGUUCUCAAGACCAAAACUUAAAAGCAACAAUACUUAAAUUCUGUUGCUUGUCAGAUAUUUAGUUUUAAGCCUCGACCUCAACUGUUACUGUUACUGUUACUGGUAUGGUCCUCCUAUCUAAGGAGCACUCCUGAAGGAUAAGAAUAUGAAUAUUUACAUGUAUAUGAAUAUUUACAGGGACCUGUUAGUAGCACCAUUACCCAAAUUACUGUACAGUAUUUUCCUUAAAUUCUGAUGUCCUGAUUACCAUAUUACGACACAUUCUCAAUAAAUACAAUGUCUUUUGAUACUUGUUGCUCUUUCCAAAUACCCUUCACUUUGGAUUGUCAUUUGAUAUUAAACAUACUGCUCUUAUGUGACAAAUUUAUAAUCCAAUCAAGCUUUGGUCUGAUUAAAUAAAGUACGUUUUAUAUGAAGGCUGUCACAUAAUGUUCUUGUUGUUGCUUCGAUAUCAUUACAAUUUAAUUUACAGUUUGAAUUGCUUUUUAAACUUUGUUGCUGAUGGAUUAAGAAUGAAUAAUACAAGCAAUCCCUGUUCCUCUACUCUGUCAAAUGUUCCAACUGGUGUGUUGUUCUUCAAGUAAGAUUUAAGAACUGACAAAUACCUAUCUCGCUCAGUCUUUAAGGCAGUACACGUGAUCAGAAAGUAAUGUGUAUCUUCACGACUUGUUUCACAUAUCAGGCACUUGUCACUCUCUCGAGCUCUUGUGGUUUUUUUUCUCUGUCUGAUUGUAAUGUGUAGGUUCUUGUAAUUAUUAAACACAGGUGUGAUUGUCUGAUAGGUUGUUAUUGGAGCUGGUGGUCUGAUGAAUCCAGGCUUUACGUAUGGUGGAGGCCUUAUAAUUUGGUUAUACAAUGCUGAGGUAGUAUGUUAGUGUAUCCUGGUGUCCUCCGAUUUUGAUAAUAGCUGUGCACAUUUUGCAUAGUAGGUGGUGCAGAGUUCAGUGUUUGUUGUACCGGAUGUGCCCAAGGGGUAUUUGUAUAGUUCGGUGUCUGUUGAACUGGAGGAUGUUGUUCAUAUCCUUGAGAAAGAGUAUUGAUUUUUGUUUUAAGUUCGCUUAUCUCUAUAAGGUGUUUCAUGUUGAGCUCGUUAAAGUAAAGUCUAUGUUGCAUGUCCAUGAUAUUUAAUCUAUUAGAGACUGUAUCUUCCAGUUUUUGCAUUCUAUAGUUCAUGCUAUGCAUCUGCUCGUCAUUGUGUGGUAUUUAAUUUAUUCGAUGUUGUAUUGUAACCCACUUUAAAAUUACAAAACGUGUAAUCUAUAUAUGUAUUUCUUUUCAUAUGGUUUUUAAAUGCAAUGUGCAUAAAAUGUAAAUAUAUACAAACAUAACUCGUUUUAUGUGUCUUUAUAUGUGUUCCCGAUUACGAGUUAAAGCCUUUAUAUUGUCAAUCUUGUUUUCAUCACAGAAAUAAGAAGAUGUGGUAUAAGCGCAAAUGAGACAACUCUCCACCAAAAUAACAAUAUGUAAUAAAUGUAUUAAGGGUCCAAAAAAAUAUUAGUGUAAAACCUAUCAAACAGAAAAAACCAACGGUAUAAACUAUAAACGAGGAACGAGAAACACUAAUGAACCACAAAAAAACCCUACCAACAACAGCUAAACAACAGGGACCUGGCUUAUGUCAUGUGCAAACAAUUACAGCCAGCGGGUUUAAAUGUUUAACAGAACCAAUCUUCAACCUAACCAGGACUGUUCUUUUUAAACUUUUUUUUAUUAAUGUUUUUAUUAAAUCUCCUCAGACUGUUUUUUUUUUCUUCUUCUUCUUCAGGUCAUGGUUAUGUCGCUCCCUACGAUAAGUCUCCAUAUUUUUUAUACUUCAAGUUACAUUGCAGAAAUUCUUCAUCAAACACUUAUUGCAAAAGAAAUCGAAAGAUAACAAUAAAACAUGCAAACUUAUAAAUCCAAAAUACCCCACUAAAGUCUUGGAGGUGACCUAAUGUGCUCUGGCAAGGGUAAGCAAAUCAUACUCCAUUUACAAGGAUAUUUGACGCAUUCAAUAAUGCAAUAUACUAGUGUUAGCAUUUUUUGUGUAUUUACAGACCAUGGCCAGUAAUUUGAGCACAUGUGGUGUCUGUGAUCAUCGUCAGGUUACCAAGCCAUCAAUAGUCUGGUGUUCCGAAUGUGAUGAAGGACUUUGUGGAGAUUGUAACGAACACCACAGUAUUUCCAAGGCAUCAAGAAACCACGAAACCGUUUCUAUUACCGAAUACAAGAAGUUACCGACAGAAAUUCUCCAAAUCGCCCAGUUCUGCAAAAUACAUAACGAGAAAUAUGAACUUUUUUGCAGAAAACAUGACUGCCCAUGCUGCAAGAAAUGUGUGAAAACGCAUAACGACUGCAAAGAUUUAACCGACAUCAAAGAAAUCAUAUCAAACGUAAAAGCAUCAAGUGCCUUUUAUGAUAUCGAACAAAUUAUAUUAGAACUUGCUGACAAUGUAAAUCAAAUACGUAACAACCGAGAAGACAAUUUAAAAUCAUUGGAAAUCGAGAGGAGAAAAGUUGAAGCAGAAAUCAAACAAACCAGAAUAAAGUUAAAUAAUCAUCUUGAUAAACUUCAAGAUGAAGUACUGAAAGAAUUGAUGACAGCUGAACAAACCGAAAGCAAGAAAAUACACGAGUUGCUAACUUCUUUAAAGGCUAAGGAAACGGAGAUAGCAGAAUACCAAACAAACAUUUGGAAUAUAAAACAGCAUGCGUCCGAGCUUCAAGCCUUCUUGGCCAUAAAACAUAUCGAAAAGGAUUUAAAGGUCGAAGAAAAAUUUAUUCGGUCGAUUAUCACAAGUGACAUCAUGAAGCAUGUCACUAUUUCAUACGAAAAUAAACAGUCAUUACAGAAAAUCACAGCCAGCGUACAGAAGUUUGGAGAAAUUAAUGUCAAUUCUGAACCAUGUGAAUUGUCCCUUCAGAAACGGAAGGAGAGACAAGCCCAGCGUAUGGUAGCUCUGUCAACCAGAAAUAUCAAUAAUCUCACAGUGGUGUUACAGAAACGUAUCAAUGAUGAGAAUCAGAUGAGAAAUGUACGAGGUUGUUCUUUGCUCCCUGGUGGUAGGAUGGUUUUCUCUUCCGAAAACUAUGGAAAAAUAAUAGUAUUUAAAUCUGACACUUCAAAAGAUUUUGAAAUAAAUAGUAUCGGUGGUACGUUUGAUGUGGUGUUUAUUGGCGAUGAUAACAUUGCUGUAACAUCAGACUGCUCACGUAAAAUUACUAUUAUCGACAUCAAAAACAGCGAAUUGAAGAAAAAAAUAAAAGUAAAUUCCAAUAUUGCUGGGAUAUCAUACAAAGAUGGACAUUUGAUCUAUUGUGCCAUGGAAAGAGGAUUAGAGAUGAUUAGUCUUAGUGAUGAAUCCGUUACCAAUCUUAUCAAUACCAAACUUUCGAAAUAUUCGUAUGUUACAACAUUCGGUGACAAACUGUUCUACACAAACAGAGACGAACAUCACAGUGUUACCUGUUGUGAUUACCAUGGUAACAUACUGUGGACAUUCAGUAAUAAUGUUCUUGUCGGUCCAUACGGCAUAUCUGUAGACAAUGAUGGUAACGUGUUUGUUGUUGGGUGUUAUACUAACAAUGUGGUCGUCAUCUCGCCUGAUGGACAACGUUAUAGGCAACUUUUAUCACGUGAUGAUGGACUCAAUUACCCAAAUGUUCUGCACUAUGACCAAUCUUCCAAUAAAUUGUUAGUUGCAAAUACAAGAAAUGAAGCGUUCUUAUAUGAAGUGAAAUGACUAUCUUUAUUUUGUUUGAAAUAUCAAACCAAGAAACUAUGCG